rnacentral:rRNA from 1 species
UACGUAGGGUGCAGGCGUUAAUCGGAAUUACUGGGCGUAAAGGGCUCGUAGGCGGCCAACUAAGUCAGACGUGAAAUCCCUCGGCUUAACCGGGGAACUGCGUCUGAUACUGGAUGGCUUGAGUUUGGGAGAGGGAUGCGGAAUUCCAGGUGUAGCGGUGAAAUGCGUAGAUAUCUGGAGGAACACCGGUGGCGAAGGCGGCAGCCUGGACCAACACUGACGCUGAGGAGCGAAAGCCAGGGGAGCAAACGGG